AAUUUUUUUUGAGAGUUCAAAUCGAAAAAAAAGAUUGCGACCUCGAUGUUGGAUUAAAAUUAAUUUUUGGUGUAGGAGCUAAAAAAUUAGGUCUGUUCGACCUUUAAAAUUUUACAUGAUCUGAGUUUAAACCGGCGUGAGCCAGGUUGGUUUCUAUCUUUAUAAAAAUAAAAUAUUUUAGUACGAAAGGAUCAAGUAUUUAGUUUAAAAUUUAAAUUAUUGAAUAAUAUUAAUUAAUU
rnacentral:rRNA from 1 species